CACACGCGCACGCAGAUAGAUGACACCCCACAGUGGUUGACCGCUAGCGUCAUCACGAGCUUCAAUUUUCACACAUUUUCGUUUCUUUAGCGUAUACCUUAUCCGCACGACUCGGGACAUUUACAUAAACGCGGCGGUCGUUAUUAUAUAGUGUAUAAUACAAUAUAUCCGAGUAUCCCGGGGAAAAAAAAAAAAAAAAAAAAAAAAAAAAAAAA